rnacentral:rRNA from 1 species
CCGGCGAAGUCGCUCGUAUUCAGCCAAAGGCUCGAGGCUUCCCUGGCGUUGAGUUGCUAACCACUCUCAGCGUUGGUGUGUUGUCCUGGGGUGGAGGGGCUUUUCCGGGGGUUGGCGUUGAAAUUUGCAAGGCACUUGUGGAACCCGGGUUCUAAAGGUUUCCCUCGGGGUUGAACCGGGCCCCGGUUGACGGUGGUUUGCCUGGUUCGAACGGGGCCGGGCCUACGGACCGGGGGGGGGGGGCCGGGGUUGCCCGGGGGAAUCCCAGGCAAUGCCAACCGAAUGGUUGGCCUUGUGGUUUCGGGUCCCCUGGCCCWUUCUCGGGGWAAAAGCCGKCCUUCUCUCCAACCCGUUUUGAACCCCGGCCCAGGGAGUUUACCGAAUGCCCAAGUCUUUGGGGGUUGAACCCCUUAGGCGCAAUGAAGGAAAAAACCAUUCSUUGGGUUGACUUGGAAGGGUGGGGGCUUCGGCCUUUGAACCACCAUGGCCCUUUGUAUGGCUUCCAGGAAGUGAAACAAACCGAUGGCUGGACCCGAGAUGGUGACCAUUCUGACCAGACGAGCCAAGAACUUGUGGAAGUCGACCAAUCGACGGCAAUCAUC